UUCCUCUUCUUCUUCUAAAACUGAUGGGAUGGUCUAUUAUUAAGAGUCGUAUCCUCACCCCCACCUCGCCUCCUCCUUCCUCAUCUCUUCUCAGAUCUCGCGUUCUCUAUGGCUCCAGGCAAAAUCGAUCCCCGGUCGCCCCCCUACAUGGGUGGAUCGGCGGCAACUGCAGGCUGGAGGCGAUUGUGUUCUCUGCGGCUCCAUGGUGGCUUCUGAUUCAAUUGAUCCCCUGUCAUCUUCCUUGGGCGGAUUUGGCAGCAACUGCGGGCUGGGGGUCAUCCUCUUCGUCUCCGCCUGGAUCACGCUCGCGGGCUCGCGCCCCUCAACAUAGCUGGUGCGGCCAGCUCCCAACAGAGGUAAGAAAUCGGACGGUGGCACCGCACAAUGACACAAAUGCAGAAAAAAGUGAUGACGCCAAUUGAAUCACUGGCUUCGCCUUUAAAUAACAGCCUCGACUACCAUCAUCCGGAGCAACUUCCCGGUGCGUGAUUCGCCGCAAGCUACUCACAAAUUUGCUACAAAUAGUGAGGGCUAUUUGUGUUUCAUCCUGCAUAGGUCUCUUCUUGCUCACCUUAAAACAAGGUUCCCAUCUCUGAAAUUUAUUGUAAUUGGAUUAACACAUGACAUGAACCUUAUAUUUAUUUCAGUACGUUUAGGGCAGCAAUGGCACAUCAUUCCUACCAUUCCAUGCAAUUCAUUGGCUCGAACAAAUCAUCUAAUACUCAGUACUACAACUUACUACUCUUUUUACAUAUGCCAAUCAUGAUCACCACAUAAGUUUAAAGAAAGGCUUGGAUGACGUUAGGUUGGCACAUACAAUAUAUGUGAGUCAACUACUUUUUUCCUUUUUCUUCUAUUCUACACAGGUUUGAGGUACUAGAAUUAUGCACAUACAAAUCAGCCACAUCCGCUUGCUGCAGAGUUAUUCGGUGGUAUCUUGAUCAUUCCACACGAGACACGCCCUGCUGCCACGCUCGCUCACCUGAUUCGGAGCAGCAAUUUACUGCAGCUAGCACGUGUAAGCAUGCCCACGCAUCCAUAUGCACCCUAUUUUCUGACUCUCUGAGUUAUGGUGGAGCUUAGCUAUUAUAUGAGAUCAAAGGGGAUUCACUUCGGUGAUGGAUACAAAGAUCAUUUGCAAGAGUUGGAUGUUUUAUGUGUUGUUAAAGUUACAGGAGAUUGAAAAUCAUGUCUUGGCGUUGGUGGUCAUAGUCUAUGGCUCUCAAUUUUGUCCUCCUUCACAGGUUUAGUCUUACUAGCUUUCAGUGGUUCACUUUUGCCAUUCAAAAUAUAACCUUCAGGUAUGUUCAGAGAGCAACAUUCAGUGUUUCAUACACAGGGUCCGAUAGAUAGUGCUGCAUUCCAGUCCUUGGCCGUGGAGUUUCAUUCUUGCACAUGUAGUUUUUUUGAGUUCAUUCUUACAUAUGUAUUGUGUUCUUAGCACCAAUAUUUUUCAACAUCAUCAAAUCUUAUUUUGUGGACACUUGCUACAGUAUAUGGUACACUGAGUUUGUCCAGUA